UUUCGACAUAGGAAAGGUACGACAACUAAAAUUCAGCGAAUUCCAAUAAUAUUAUAGAGAUCAAGAGCCUAACAAUGUGGAGUAUUUGGUUAUCAAUCAUAAAGGAAAGGGAUGGGUUUCUUCUUGACAAACUUUUUAAGUUGGUGGUACACAAAUUACAGUGCCGUAGAAACUAGGAGUAAAAUACAUACCUUGGAGGGGGAAAUAGCCUUUUUGCCGUAAAAGUGGCAGAGCAUCAUAGACAACAAAGGCCAAUAAGCCACCAGUUCUUAGUGCAAGUCUUGGGAGGUUAAAUUCAUCAGCAACUCUCCCUGCAAAAUCCCACAGUGGGUCUGAUAUCAAGCAAGAUAUGGGCUCUUUUUCGUUGGAGUCAUCCUCCGAAACUUUGAACAACGAAUCUCGAAAAGGCCCCGAAAAACUCGUAUUCAGUAAAGCUAUGGUCUCCCAAGGAUCCAAUAAGGAAGCAAAUGCUUCAGAACUCAAUGGUGCUUCUUCAAUAUAGUGGAAGGUGAAGUUUGGGAAUGUCCUUGAAUUUGAAGAGUUGAGAGUAGUCUGGAUAAUGAUAAUGGAAAAUCCCUUAGAAUAAAGGGCGUUUCCUAGAUUGAGCAUCGGAGUAGUGUGGCCUAUAUAUGGAUGAGGAAACAAUACCACUCUGCAACACAGCUUGUUCUCUUGCUUCUCCAUAUCAGUUUUUUGGUUUACUGCUAAAAUAUUGCAGAUUAUGUGUAUUUUAUUGACAAGUUUAUAAAGUGCAGCAGCAUAUUUUGGACUUC